rnacentral:rRNA from 1 species
UACGUAGGCAGCGAGCGUUGUUCGGAGUUACUGGGCGUAAAGAGUGCGUAGGCGGUUUUCUAAGUUUGGUGUGAAAUCUCCCGCUAACUGGGAGGGUGCGCCGAAGACUGGAAGGCUAGAGUAUGGGAGAGGUAAGCGGAAUUCCUGGUGUAGCGGUGAAAUGCGCAGAUAUCAGGAGGAACACCGAUGGCGAAGGCAGGUCUCUGGGCAUUAACUGACGCUGAGGAGCGAAAGCAUGGGGAGCGAACAGG